GAACCACUCCACGGGACAACCCCAGGACAUCCUGUCCCCAACGGGACAAUCCCAGAGCCUCCUCUCUCAACAGAACCACUCCACGGGACAACCCCAGAACAUCCUGUGCCCAACGGGACAACGCCAGAGCCUCCUCUCCCGACAGAACCACCCAACGGGACAACCCCAGAGCCUCCUCUCCCAACAAAACCACUCCACGGGACAACCCCAGGGCAUCCUGUGCCCAACGGGACAAUCCCAGGACCUCUUCUACCCAAAAGGACAACCUUAAAACCUCUUGUACCCAAUGGAACAACCUCAGAACCUCUUCUAGUCAACGAGACUACCCGCAAUCUUCCUCUCGGCGGGACAACCCUGGAACUUCCUCCCCUCGAUGCUCCACUCAACGGAACAAUCCCCGGAAUGCUUCUCCCCAUCGUACUAACAAAGAUAUCCCCUGGGCCUCCUUUCCCCUUCGCCCAACCCAGAGUGAAGGCCCCCGAACCUCCUCCCCAUCUCGCUCCAAGCAAAGUGAGGUCCCCUGGGCAUCCAUUGCCCUUCGGCCAACCCAAGGGGACAGGCCUCAGACCUCAUCUCCCAGUAGGCCAGCGCAGCGUGACCCACCCUUGUCCUCCUCUGGAUCUACUCAGCAUAGCCCACCACCCCGGGCCACUUCCUCUUCCCAUAACCUGGGCCACCACAGUGCCUCCCGGACUUCUUCACCUCUGUACCCUGCUACCCGCGGGGCACCCCAGACCUCUUCUGAGCCCUCCCAGCCUCCAUGUUCUGUGUGUAUUGGGCAUCGGGAUGCUCCUCGAGCUUCUUCCCCUCCUCGCUAUUUGCAACAUGACCCCUUCCCUUUCUUCCCAGACCCCCAUGCAUCUGAGAGUGAAUCACCCCAACACAACCCCCCCCCUAUACCUCCAGCUGUGUGCAUCGGCCACCGGGAUGCCCCCCGGGCCUCCUCCCCCCCCCGCCACGCCCAGUUUGAUCCCUUUCCCUUCCUCCCAGACACAUCAGAUGCUGAGACUCAGUCCCCCCAGCAUGAUCCUCCUCAGUUCCCCCCACCUGUAUGUAUCGGGUACCGUGAUGCACCCCGGGCCUCCUCCCCGCCGCGCCAGGCCCCAGAGCCCUCCCUCCUGUUCCAGGAUCUCCCCAGGGCCAGCACUGAGAGCCUUGUCCCCUCCACAGACUCUCUGCACGAGCCCCCCCACAUCCCCACCCCUGUGUGCAUUGGGCACCGGGAUGCCCCCUCUUUCUCAUCCCCACCACGCCAGGCCCCUGAGCCCUCCCUUUUCUUCCAGGAUCCCCCAGGGACUAGUAUGGAGAGCCUGGCCCCCUCCACCGACUCUCUGCAUGGCUCCCCAGUGCUGCCCCCCCAAGUGUGCAUCGGACACCGGGAUGCACCUCGAGCCUCCUCCCCGCCCCGCCACCCCCCCAGUGACCUAGCGCUCCUGGCAUCCUCACCUCCGCCGGGCAGCUCCAGGGGCUCCC
rnacentral:lncRNA from 1 species